rnacentral:rRNA from 1 species
GUUGCGGUUAAAAAGCUCGUAGUUGGAUUUCUGUUGAGGAUGACCGGUCCGCUCUUUGAGCGCGUAUCUGGUUCAGCCUUGGCAUCCUCUUGGGGAACGCUACUGUGCUUGAUUGCAUGGGGCGGUAUUCAAGACUUUUACUUCGAGGAAAUUAGAGUGUUCACUGCAAGCGUUAGCAAUUGAAUACAUUAGCAUGGAAUAAUAAUAUAGGACCUUGGUACUAUUUUGUUGGUUUCUAGAACUAAGGUAAUGAUUAAUAGGGACAAUUGGGGGCAUUCGUAUUAACGCGUCAGAGGUGGAAUUCUUAGAUUGCGUUACGACGAACUACUGCGAAAGCAUUUGCCAAGGAUGUUUUCAUUGAUCAAGAACGAAAGUAUGGGGAUCGAAGACGCUUAGAUACCGUCGUAGUCUAUACCAUAAACUAUCCCAACUAGAGAUUGGAGGUCGUUCUCUUUAUGACUCCUUCAGCACCUUAUGAGAAAUCAAAGUCUUUGGGUUCCGGGGGGAGUAUGGUCGCAAGGCUGAAACUUAAAGGAAUUGACGGAAGGGCACCACCAGGAGUGGAGCCUGCGGC